GGGAAUGAAACCGUCUUUUCGAUUCAAACACUGCCAUUGUAACUGAAGCUACCGACGGAUUUGGUGGUGCUGUGAGAAGCCGAUGCGACGAAAUGCGGUGGUUGAGGGCGGGAGCGACCAUCUUCUCCAGCUAAUCUUCUGUUUGUGCGACUGUAAAGCUAAGUCGAUUUUUUGAACUAUGAAGUAGUUUUAAUUUAGAGCCCCCUCAAGUUUGAGAAAUUAUCAAUUCGUCAACUGUUGGAGCUGGGAGGCAGGUUUUUCCAAUCGC
rnacentral:lncRNA from 1 species